CCAAUUUAAAAUAAAUGACAAAGAGGCCUACACAUUGAAGCUCCGCCCAGUGUUUUCUUCGCUACUUGAAACCACGUUCAAAUCAACUUCCGGCUGGUGUCAUUCGAUAGCUUCGAUUGCUUCGAUACUUCGAUAGUGUUGUGCCGGUUGUGCCUUCAGGUGUUCGAAGAAGCACCGUAAGAAUGGUCUUGCAGUGUAUUGUAAACGCCGCACGCAGCUCCAUACAGGUUAGAAGCAUAAGUGGGUUGUGAUUACCGAGGCCAGCAAUAAGAAAUUGGCUUGUAUUAAUCGAAGUGUUUUUUUACAACAUAAUCAAGUCAUUAAAAUGGCAAAUAUACUUUCAGCAUCCUGUCUACAGCGUACAUUGCAGAUGCUAUAUGCUGAAACCAGAUGUCAUGUCUGCAUGUAACAUCAUACUGAGUGAAAUAAAAAUGGACUGUUUAUGUUAAACUAUCUACUGCACCAAGAAGUGAUGCCAACACAACCCAGUGCAGUUUUAUGCUCAGAAGUGCUGGGAUUUCUUGGUAUUGCUAAGUGGU